rnacentral:rRNA from 1 species
UACGUAGGGGGGCAAGCGUUGUCCGGAUUUAUUGGGCGUAAAGAGCUCGUAGGCGGUGUGUCGCGUCGGCCGUGAAAACCUGCAGCUUAACUGUGGGCUUGCGGUCGAUACGGGCAUCACUGGAGUUCGGCAGGGGAGACUGGAACUCCUGGUGGAGUGGUGAAAUGCGUAGAGAUCAGGAAGAACACCCGUGGCGAAGGCGGCCCACUGGGCCGGUGCUGACGCUGAGGCGCGAAGGCGUGGGGGAGCGAACGGG